rnacentral:rRNA from 1 species
GGGAAUAGCCCAGAGAAAUUUGGAUUAAUACCCCGUAAUAUAACGGUGUGGCAUCACAUUGUUAUUAUAGGUUUACCGCUAAGAGAUGGGUGUGCGGCUGAUUAGGUAGUUGGCGGAGUAAUAGCCCACCAAGCCGACGAUCAGUAGCUGAUGUGAGAGCAUGAUCAGCCACACGGGCACUGAGACACGGGCCCGACUCCUACGGGAGGCAGCAGUAAGGAAUAUUGGACAAUGGACGCAAGUCUGAUCCAGCCAUGCCGCGUGAAGGAUUAAGGCCCUCUGGGUUGUAAACUUCUUUUAUAGGGGACGAAAAAAGGGCUUUCUAGCUCGUCUGACGGUACCCUAUGAAUAAGCACCGGCUAACUCCGUGCCAGCAGCCGCGGUAAUACGGAGGGUGCAAGCGUUAUCCGGAUUCACUGGGUUUAAAGGGUGCGUAGGCGGGCAGUUAAGUCAGUGGUGAAAUCUUCGAGCUCAACUCGGAAACUGCCAUUGAUACUAUCUGUCUUGAAUACUGUGGAGGUGAGCGGAAUAUGUCAUGUAGCGGUGAAAUGCUUAGAUAUGACAUAGAACACCGAUUGCGAAGGCAGCUCGCUACACAAAUAUUGACGCUGAGGCACGAAAGCGUGGGGAUCAAACAGGAUUAGAUACCCUGGUAGUCCACGCCCUAAACUAUGGAUACUCGACAUUUGCGAUACACAGUAAGUGUCUGAGCGAAAGCAUUAAGUUCCCACCUGG